GCAUACGUCCUACGGGAGAAGCAGGGGAUCUUCGGACCUUGCGCUAAUAGAUGAGCCUAAGUCGGAUUAGCUAGUUGGUGGGGUAAAGGCCUACCAAGGCGACGAUCUGUAGCGGGUCUGAGAGGAUGAUCCGCCACACUGGGACUGAGACACGGCCCAGACUCCUACGGGAGGCAGCAGUGGGGAAUAUUGGACAAUGGGGGGAACCCUGAUCCAGCCAUGCCGCGUGUGUGAAGAAGGCCUUAUGGUUGUAAAGCACUUUAAGCGAGGAGGAGGCUACUUUAGUUAAUACCUAGAGAUAGUGGACGUUACUCGCAGAAUAAGCACCGGCUAACUCUGUGCCAGCAGCCGCGGUAAUACAGAGGGUGCGAGCGUUAAUCGGAUUUACUGGGCGUAAAGCGUGCGUAGGCGGCUUAUUAAGUCGGAUGUGAAAUCCCCGAGCUUAACUUGGGAAUUGCAUUCGAUACUGGUGAGCUAGAGUAUGGGAGAGGAUGGUAGAAUUCCAGGUGUAGCGGUGAAAUGCGUAGAGAUCUGGAGGAAUACCGAUGGCGAAGGCAGCCAUCUGGCCUAAUACUGACGCUGAGGUACGAAAGCAUGGGGAGCAAACAGGAUUAGAUACCCUGGUAGUCCAUGCCGUAAACGAUGUCUACUAGCCGUUGGGGCCUUUGAGGCUUUAGUGGCGCAGCUAACGCGAUAAGUAGACCGCCUGGGGAGUACGGUCGCAAGACUAAAACUCAAAUGAAUUGACGGGGGCCCGCACAAGCGGUGGAGCAUGUGGUUUAAUUCGAUGCAACGCGAAGAACCUUACCUGGCCUUGACAUACUAGAAACUUU
rnacentral:rRNA from 1 species